UGAAUACGAGACGCUAAGGCGUCGAAGUAGUGUAUGUCAUACUUCCAAGAAAAGCUUGCACUGUCAUAGAUAAAAAACGCCUGUACCAUAACCGACACAGGUGGGUAGGUAGAGUAUACUAAGGGGCGCGAGAUAACUCUCUCUAAGGAACUCGGCAAAAUAACUCCGUAACUUCGGGAGAAGGAGUGCCUUAUUCGUAAGGUUGCAAUAACAAGAUCCAAGCAACUGUUUAUCAAAAACACAGGUCUCCGCUAAGUCGUAAGACGAUGUAUGGGGGCUGACGCCUGCCCAGUGCCAGAAGGUUAAAGAAGUUGGUUAGCAAUUGCGAAGCUGAUAACUGAAGCCCUGGUGAACGGCGGCCGUAACAAUAACGGUCCUAAGGUAGCGAAAUUCCUUGUCGGGUAAGUUCCGACCCGCACGAAAGGCGUAAUGAUUUGGAUACUGUCUCGGAGAGGGGCCCGGUGAAAUAGACUUGUCUGUGAAGAUGCGGACUACCUGCACCAGGACAGAAAGACCCUAUGAAGCUUUACUGUAACUUGAAAUUGAAAUUGGACUUUAUUCGCGCAGUAUAGGUGGGAGGCGUUGAUUAUAAUCUUGUGGGAUUAUUGGAGCCAUCAGUGAGAUACCACUCUUGUAAUGUUAGAUUUCUAACUUUGAAUCAUUAUCUGGUCAAAGAACAGUUUCAGGCGGGCAGUUUGACUGGGGCGGUCGCCUCCUAAACGGUAACGGAGGCGUACAAAGGUUUCCUCUGAACGGUUAGAAAUCGUAUCUAGAGUGUAAAGGCAUAAGGAAGCUUGACUGUGAGACCUACAAGUCGAGCAGGGACGAAAGUCGGUCUUAGUGAUCUGACGGUACUGAGUGGAAAGGCCGUCACUCAACGGAUAAAAGUUACUCUAAGGAUAACAGGCUGAUCUCCCCCAAGAGUUCACAUCGACGGGGAGGUUGGCACCUCGAUGUCGGCUCAUCGCAUCCUGGGGCGGUAGUACGUCCCAAGGGUUGGGCUGUUCGCCCAUGAAAGCGGUACGCGAGCUGGGUUCAGAACGUCGUGAGACAGUUCGGUCCAUAUCCGGUGUAGGCGUUAGAAUAUUGAGAGGAGCCUUCUUUAGUACGAGAGGACCGAGAAGGACAUACCUCUGGUGUACCAGUUAUCGUGCCAACGGUAAACGCUGGGUAGCUAUGUAUGGAGUGGAUAACCGCUGAAAGCAUCUAAGUGGGAAGCCCACCUCAAGAUAAGUAUUCUG
rnacentral:rRNA from 1 species